UAUUAAUGAUAAAAAGGAAUGCUUGUAGCUUAAACGAAAAUAUGAAUAUGGUAGGAAAGGAAUCAAAUUGAAUUGAAUAAGCAAUCGUUAUUGGGCUAUCCAAAAGGUCAAAACAAGCUACAAGAAGACACCUGAAGAAUGAUACUAGAGACUAUCUAAUCCUUAAAAAUUAACGCGCUUUAAUACGAGGACACAACAUAACACUUGGCGAACCACGACACAACGAAUCUUGUGACCACAGAACUAAGGAUUGCUGUCUUGAGCCGGUGAAGAGAAAAUAGGAUUAAUGACACAUUAGAACUGUUUCAUUUCUUCUUUGCAGACACAGACACAGGAAGCAGCCAUGUAUAAGCGUUUCAUACAGGAGCUUGCCGAUGACACAGAAGUUGACAUGGAGUUAGAAGAGGUUAAGCAAAUAUGUGAAGCAGUAACACUACUGACCACCAAAAUUCUCCACCAUGUUGAAGACAGCAUGCCGUUUUUUAAGUCCUCUGAUGUCGUCCGGUGCGGUAGUAUGGCUGAAGGUACUCGAAUUUGGAAAUUCACCGACACUGAUGAAACAACCGUUUUGGAGUUUGAUUUUUUAUCAGUUUUAGAAAAAUUUGGUGGCAAUGAUUUUACUGCCGAAAACUCGUGUCAUGGAUUCAUGAGCGUAAAACAAGAAACAUCCAUUUUUCCUGUAGAAUAUCAAAACUUUUCCAAUGAAGUUGGAUCAAUUGGGAAAAUAAACACUCAUAUGGUUUCCUUCAUGUUUAGAACAGAGCUGAUGAAAGUCGUUGAAAAGCUCUGCUCCUGUUUAAAGUGUAAUUUAAAAGUUUUGCCAACUGGUAAUUACAUUCUGGGAAACAUUACUAAAUCCGCCGAAUUCUCUGAAGCCUGCAGCGAAUGCCAAAUUCACUGUAAAACAGGCACUUUGGCAAUUGCCACUGGUGGGGACAUUCAUCCAGUAAACUGGGGAUCCUCAAUGAUCUUCCUGUGGAAAAGGAAGGUUGUCCAAGGAAUGAAGUAUCCUUGUGAAAAGACUCGACAGAAACCAAAGAUCGACAAUGAUGUUAUAAUAUUGGUAGAUUUUUUGCCAGUUAUUGAAGUAACAAAGAAAGGGGUGACUCCUAAGGAACACUUGUAUUACCUUGUACCAAAAAUUUGUAAAAAUGAGCAUAAUACUUGCUGGAAAAUCUCUCAUUGUAGGUCAGAGCUGAGCGAGCUCGUGAGCAGCAGCCGCAUGCAUCGACAAUGCUACAUGGUAUUGAAGUUCAUACAAGACUACAUCGAUUGUGAACUCAAAGGAAUCCCUGAGAGCCCUAAGACAUACAUGAUAAAAUCCGCAGUUAUUCUGCACAUUCAAUCAUGUAAGAAGGAACAUCCUUCUUUAGAGUCUUGUGUGUUGGAAAUUAUCGAUUUUCUGACUGAUGCAUUUGAAAAUGGAUUUCUUCCACACUUAGUUCUGGGGUUCAACUUACUAGAAAAGUACCAGGACCCUGCGCUUCCACCAGAAGAUCAGCUGUGGACUGGGAACAGGAACACAGUGAUGAGCAAAUGCUGGUGCUUCUUGGGCCACGUGUUCAGAAACCUUGACUCAAUCGUUUCUGUGGACUACGAUUUUGAUACGAUCCAGACAAUUUUGAAGCUAAUAACACUCGAAUAUGGAGUUUGUUGGGGGAAAACAGACUUCAGAGAUUUAUACCUUCCAGAUGAGUGUUAUUUUUUAGAAGUGCUGAACAAAAUUGGCAGUGGGGAUUUUCCUUCCAAAAGCGAAAUGCGAAACAUAACAAGAAAAACCGACAUGUAUCUGGGAGAAAGAUAUAAAGGACAAAACCGUUCUCUUCUUUACAUGUGUAUGAUGCGCUGCCGUAAAGUUCAUGAAGAUCUUCUCGAAAGAAAGGCGGAAUUUGACCAAGGAUUAGAGCAAGAAGGUGUUCGUCAAUUUCUAGAAAAAUACCAAUGGCUACUAAAACCUGACGAAAACACGAAGCCCUAGACGUGCAAGAAGACUCUGUAUGGAAUGUUACCGUUGUCCAAUACGACUUAACGGCUGCGUUAAGGACUUUAUUCUGCUAAAUGUGAGACUGAACAGCUGACCACUAUGAGGACUGACUAUACUGACCUCUAUGAGAACUGCCUAUGAUGACCUCUAUGAGAACUGCCUAUGAUGACCUCUAUGAGAACUGCCUAUGAUGACCUCUAUGAGAACUGCCNCCUAUGAUGACCUCUAUGAGAACUGCCUAUGAUGACCUCUAUGAGAACUGCCUAUGAUGACCUCUAUGAGAACUGCCUAUGAUGACCUCUAUGAGGACUCGGCUCCGCUUCGUUUUAUCUCAAUUCGCCUUUCGGAGUUUGGAAAUAGGAUGAAACACUCUGUACCGUACUUGAUAUAUAAGGGUCAUCGCAACAAACCGACAAGAACACUCCUGGAGAGAGGUACUAAUCAUUCCAAAUUUUCGUUAAAUAUUCAUUUCGCAAAGUAUCCGAAACUUGUCGAGCUUUACGGAGGAAUCAAGAAUAGCAGUUUUGUAGGUCAAUUAGAUAAAAAAUAACUGUGCUAUUCUCUUGUCCGGCGCAGCAGAUUGCAACAGUUGAAAUUUUCAGGACGUUCAGGGAUAAAGGAACCUGAUUACAUGAUGACUUUAAGCGAAAGAACUCGCCUCAACAUCUUAUUGUGUCUGUCUGUCAUCCUGGCUAUUUUUCAAGUAAUUACAGCUACGGCUGUGAUCAUUUUGUUCAAAGCAUAUUCUGACCUCAAGAAGAAAGCUACUGAAACUGAGACAAAUCUAUCUUCAAUCGAAACACAAAUUUCUUUGAGAAACGAGGAAAGGCCUGAAACAACUGCAACAACAGCAACGGUGGAAUCAGAAAGAAACAGCCGGAAAUGGCGGGGAAACGUUGAGGAGAGUCCAACCAGAGUGCCGACACCUCCACAAAACAGAAGAUCUGGUUACAAGCAGGAAAUUUAUCCUCAAUACUACAGCACAGAGGUUCCUAGGACACAAAGUAGAAACUCCCAAGAAAUGACUGGAUUUCCUCGAGACACUUCGUUUACUUCAGCUAGGUCAUGUGACUCGGGCACAGGCUCCUUUAUUACCAGAACCCCACAAAGCUCAAUUUCAUGCGAAUCCAAAACGCUGUGGCAAGCCCCGAUUAUCGAAAGAGGUUCAAAUGAGGUGAAGGAUAGACCCAUUUCGCGUGACUCUCAGAUCAGCCAAUCGCCAUUUCGCCUGUCACGUGAUACGUCAUCUGAAGUUUGGAGAACCGGCUCGAGUGGCUCAUCACAGAGUUUGGAAGACAAGUCGCGUAGGGCCAGAAGAGAAGUACGCAAAGAAUGUAACGAGCCCAGUAAUCAAAACGAGCUUACGUACAAUCGUUCUUCUCGCUUACAUACAAUGGCAAUUGAAAUGAUAGGGUUGGAGGAAAAUGGCCUUACAAAUAAAGCUUACCAUGAAGGUAAUGAAGAUUUCAAUAAAGGGCUAAAGAAAACAGCUAUUGCUAGUGAAGAAUUGGCUCACGAUUUGAACUCUGAAUCUCAGCCGCAGAUCGGUAAAAAUGUCAACACCGCCGAUUUGAAUUAUGAAAAGGAAGAAAUAAAGAAGAAAUGGCACAAAGAUGAGAAUGAGGUCCCAACUAGAGUCCCGACGCCUCCAAGAAUGAGAAGAUCGAAACGAAAUAAAAAUGAGGUUCGAGACAGACUUUCUUCUCGCUUAGAAACAAUGGCAAUAGGUAUGAUAGGAUUGGAGGAAACCCACGCAGGAGAAAGAAAGAGUGAACGAUUAAGUAGACAUCUCAUCCAAAGAAAAGAAGAAAUAGGCGAAGAAUCAUCCGACCUAAAUGGUAAUAAAUCUAACGUUAUCACACGAUUUUAAUAGUCGUUUUAAACUGUGUGUGGUAAUGAGAAGGAUCAUUGAAGUGACUCCUGAAGGGGUUAAAUGGGAGCUGGGAUUUGCAUUUUUUUGAGCUGGGAAAAUUGAAUUUUAUGCACUGGGAAUGGGAUUCACAAACGAAAUAAAAACAAUCAUAAAAAUGGGAAUGGGGUUGAGAUUUGAGCAAAACGUAGUCCGGGGCUAUGAGAUCUACUCAAAAUGGGGGCUGGGAAAUGGAAUUAGGACAACCCCUUCAGGACCCUCAUUCAACCAUUUUUCCUUCUGCUCGUAAUUAUAAGUUUAAAAGAGGGCAUUAGAGAGUUUUAGAUUGACUUUUUUUUCUCCCCGCAAACGGCAAACGUGACCACGUUUUCAUAGUUUUCUUUUCUUUUACUUUACCUUUUACAAACCUUCUCACCAAGCGCAAAUACUCUUUUGUUUUUCUACUACUUGGACUUUUUUGCGAUUCUUUUUCAGUAAUUUAAAAGAAUUUUUUACUGGUCAACUGGCGUUUCACGUUUGCCGUGAACGUAAAUCUAAAACUCUCUAUUGUCGCCUGAGAGUUUCCUUGGUUAUUGAUGAGGGGGAGGGGGGGAAUCGUUUGAGUAAAUGAAUAAUUUUGAAUAAACUCAAAAUUCUCAGAUUUUCCAUUUUUUUCCAUCAGUAGCCACGCUACUUAGACACAAUUUUUAAUGUAAUGAUUUUUUAAUUUUUUAUCAACGUUAGGGAAGUAAUUACAAAAACCCUUCUUAGUUUUAAACUGUUCUACCAUUUCAGACUACGGGUUAUUCGCUCUAUAAUAGCCCCUUGCACUAAUUCUCUACCUGGGGGUUAAAAAAAUUGAAAAUAUUGGCAUCAUGUUGCAUGUUGCAUGUUGCAUGUUGCAUGUUGCAUGUUGCAUGUUAUAUCUUAAAAGCAGUGAUCCCGCGCGCUUAGGGAGUUUGCAAAUUGCGUUUGCGUUUGCUCUUCCAUUUUUGCUUGCAUUCGUGUUUGAACCGUAUAAGUCAUGCCAGGCAUUGAUAACGUAUGGGGGUAAGUUACGGUCAGGACGUUAAAAUAGCCCUGACAGACUAAGUAUAUCCUAUUGUAUUUUACAUAUUCCAAAAAGCAAUGCUUAAUAUGAUUAAUAAGAUAUAAUAAAAUAAAAUGCUUUUUCUUGCAUAGUUAA